rnacentral:snRNA from 1 species
GGAUGUGAGGGCGAUCUGGCUGCGACAUCUGUCACCCCAUUGAUCACCAGAGUUGAUUCAGCUGAUCUAGCUGGCUAGGCAAAUGUCCCCUUCCUCCCUCGCUGCUCCCUGUGCAUCCCUCCCACAGCUGCACACUCAGUGGAAGAAGAUGACCAUCCCAGACAGAAGGAGUGUACUGAUUCUCGGUCAGGGGUGUACAAUAGCUGCAGUCCCCUACUAGAACCUCCAAACAAGUUCAAAGUCCAUUCAAUAAUUGUUCAAAAUUAUGAUGGUGCUGAAAAAUGGACCCAUGACCUGUGCCCAAUGUU